CAGAGGGGGCAAGCGUUAUUCGGAAUUAUUGGGCGUAAAGGGCGCGUAGGCGGCUUUGCAAGUGACGGGUGAAAUCCCUCGGCUUAACCGAGGAACUGCCUGUCAGACUGCAUGGCUUGAGACCGGGAGAGGUGAGUGGAAUUCCCAGUGUAGCGGUGAAAUGCGUAGAUAUUGGGAGGAACACCAGUGGCGAAGGCGGCUCACUGGACCGGUACUGACGCUGAGGCGCGAAAGCGUGGGUAGCAAACAGGAUUAGAUACCCUGGUAGUCCACGCCGUAAACGAUGAGUGCUUGGUGUAGCGGGUAUCGACCCCUGCUGUGCCGAAGUCAACACAUUAAGCACUCCGCCUGGGGAGUACGGUCGCAAGACUG
rnacentral:rRNA from 1 species